GACGAACGCUGGCGGCGCGCCUCAUACAUGCAAGUCGAGCGAGAACCAGGGCUUGCCCUGGGGAGAGCGGCGAACGGGUGCGUAUCACGUGAGCAACCUGCCCCGAAGACCGGGAUAACUCGAGGAAACUCGGGCUAAUACCGGAUGUCCUCGGUGGACCGCAUGGUCCGGCGAGGAAAUGGAUUCCGCUUCGGGAUGGGCUCGCGGCCUAUCAGCUUGUUGGUGGGGUAACGGCCUACCAAGGCGACGACGGGUAGCUGGUCUGAGAGGACGAUCAGCCACACUGGGACUGAGACACGGCCCAGACUCCUACGGGAGGCAGCAGUAGGGAAUCUUGCGCAAUGGGCGAAAGCCUGACGCAGCGACGCCGCGUGCGGGAUGAAGGCCUUCGGGUCGUAAACCGCUUUCAGCAGGGACGAAAUUGACGGUACCUGCAGAAGAAGGCCCGGCCAACUACGUGCCAGCCGCCGCCGUAACAC
rnacentral:rRNA from 1 species